rnacentral:rRNA from 1 species
AACAGGCUAGUUCCGCCCAAGAGUCCAUAUCGACGGCGGAGUUCGGCACCUCGAUGUCGGCUCAUCUUAUCCUGGGGGUGGAGAAGCUCCCAAGGGUUUGGCUGUUCGCCAAUUAAAAAGGUACGUGAGCUGGGUUCAGACCGUCGUGAGACAGGUUGGUCUCCUAUCUACUGCACUCGUUGAUUCUUGAGGGGGGUUCUUCCUAGUACGAGAGGACCGGAAGGAGGCGACCUCUGGUCUACCUGCUGUUCCGCCAGGAGCACCGCAGGGCAGCUAUGUCGUUGAGUGAUAAGCGCUGAAAGCAUCUAAGCGCGAAGCAUGCCCCAAGAUUAGGAAUCGUUAUCAGAUCCCUCGAAGACUACGAGGUUGAUAGGCUCCAGGUGUAAGUGCCGCAAGGCAUUCAGCCGAGGAGUACUAAUAGAUCGAGCCGUCUUGU